rnacentral:rRNA from 1 species
CCUACGGGAGGCAGCAGUAGGGAAUCUUCGGCAAUGGGGGCAACCCUGACCGAGCAACGCCGCGUGAGUGAAAAGGUUUUCGGAUCGUAAGCUCUGUUGUUUCAAGAACGGGUGUGAGAGUGGAAAGUUCACAUGGACGGGCUUACCGAAAGGACGGCUAACUACGUGCCACGCCGCGGUAAUACGUAGGUCCCGAGCGUUGUCCGGAUUUAUUGGGCGUAAAGCGAGCGCAGGCGGUUUGAUAAGUCUGAAGUUAAAGGCUGUGGCUCAACCAUAGUUCGCUUUGGAAACUGUCAAACUUGAGUGCAGAAGGGGAGAGUGGAAUUCCCUGUGUAGCGGUGAAAUGCGUAAUAUAUGGAGGAACACCGGUGGCGAAAGCGGCUCUCUGGUCUGUAACUGACGCUGAGGCUCGAAAGCGUGGGGAGCGAACAGGAUUAGAUACCGUGGUAGUC